rnacentral:tRNA from 1 species
UGGAUAUUAGCUCAGGUGGUAGAGCACUUGACUUUUAAUCAAGUUGUCCGGGGUUCGAAUCCCCGAUGUCUCA